GACGGUGAGAAAAAUGAAAAUCUACCAGAUACAAUAGUCGAGCAGACAAAUGACAAUUCAGACAUUAACUCAUCUGUAUCUGAGACGACAGUGGAAGAUAACAUUGCAAUGUCAGCCGCUGAUGAAAGAAAUGGCGCAAUAUCAAAGGAAACAACUGACAAAUCAAAGGAAACAACUGACAAAUCAAAGGAAACAACUGACAAAAAGGAUGACCAAAAUUCAAACAAAAAAUCAUCAUCAUCAAUGAAAAUAACAAAAGAUGGUAAAGAUGGACCUUCUUCUGACCCAAACGAGCCAAAAUCAAAAACAUGUAUAGUUUUGUAAUGUGUUGUCUAUACAAAGUGCUUAGACUUUAAAUCUAAUCGUGUACCGGUCACUUGUUUUGAUAUGUGCCAGGUGCAGGAUAAGUCAGUACAUUGUAAUCUAGAAAUUAUAUUAGAUAUAGAAUUUUAUCGAUGACUAACAGUUUAUUGACUAUAAAUAUUUGUCGUUUAUAAUCAAUAGUGGAAUAUGGUGAGGCCUGGUUUAAAUAGAUUUUAUUUAGAUCUACAUUUAGUGUAGCCUAACUUAUAAGUGUUUAGCCAGAAUAUGAUUUCAAAUCAUUUCUUUUCAUCACAAGAACGACCUGAAUUGAACUGAAUUUGUUUUAUUUAUGAAAUUUGUAUACAUUCAUUUUUGGCAAUAAUAAAAAAAGUCUUUGUCAAGGAUUAUCUCUCAUGAGCAAUAAAAAUAGAAUUGAAAAGUGGAAAAUAAAACCAAAACGAUGAGGCAGUAAGGGAAACAACUUUCAACGAGGACGCUGUUUGUUAAUACUUAAAACAAUACGAAGAGUGUCAGAUAAUUUGGGUUUAAACGAAUUUACUCGGCUAUA